rnacentral:rRNA from 1 species
AUUGAACGCUGGCGGCAGGCUUAACACAUGCAAGUCGAGCGAGAGGCGGACGGGUUAGUAAUGACUGGGCAAGUGCCUGAGGGAGGGCGAUAACUACUGGGAACGGAUGCUACUAACGCACAGCAUCAGCUGUGCCCAGAUUGGAUUAGCUAGUAGGUGGGGUAAUGGCUAACCAAGGCGCGGAUCCCUCGCUGGUCUGAGAGGAGGACCAGCCACACUGGAACUGAGACACGGUCCAGGUUCCUACGGGAGGCAUCAGUGGGGAAUAUUGCACAAUGGGCGCAAGCAUGAUGCAGCCAUGCCGCGUGUAUGAAGAAGGCCUUCGGGUUGUAAAGUACUUUCAGCUGGGAGGCGUUACCCGCAGAAGAAGCACCGGCUAACGCCGUGCCAGCAGCCGCGGUAAUUC